UGCAUAUCCAUAAGCGGAGGAAAAGAAACCAACUGGGAUUACCUUAGUAACGGCGAGUGAAGCGGUAAAAGCUCAAAUUUGAAAUCUGGUACUUUCAGUGCCCGAGUUGUAAUUUGUAGAAUUUGUCUUUGAUUAGGUCCUUGUCUAUGUUCCUUGGAACAGGACGUCAUAGAGGGUGAGAAUCCCGUUUGGCGAGGAUACCUUUUCUCUGUAAGACUUUUUCGAAGAGUCGAGUUGUUUGGGAAUGCAGCUCAAAGUGGGUGGUAAAUUCCAUCUAAAGCUAAAUAUUGGCGAGAGACCGAUAGCGAACAAGUACAGUGAUGGAAAGAUGAAAAGAACUUUGAAAAGAGAGUGAAAAAGUACGUGAAAUUGUUGAAAGGGAAGGGCAUUUGAUCAGACAUGGUGUUUUUUGCAUGCACUCGCCUCUCGUGGGCUUGGGCCUCUCAAAAAUUUCACUGGGCCAACAUCAAUUCUGGCAGCAGGAUAAAUCAUUAAGAAUGUAGCUACUUCGGUAGUGUUAUAGCUUUUUGGAAUACUGUUAGCCGGGAUUGAGGACUGCGCUUCGGCAAGGAUGUUGGCAUAAUGGUUAAAUGCCGCCCGUCUUGAAACACGGACCA
rnacentral:rRNA from 1 species